rnacentral:rRNA from 1 species
AGCAGCCGCGGUAAUUCCAGCUCCAAUAGCGUAUAUUAAAGUUGUUGCAGUUAAAAAGCUCGUAGUUGAAUUUCGGGGUUAGUAGGUUGGUCAUGCCUCCGGUAUGUACUGAUCUCACUGAUUCCUCCUUCCUUAUGAACCGUAAUGCCAUUAAUUUGGUGUUGCGGGGAAUUUGGACUGUUACUUUGAAAAAAUUAGAGUGUUUAAAGCAGGCUAACGCUUGAAUACAUUAGCAUGGAAUAAUGAAAUAGGACGUUCGAUCUUAUUUUGUUGGUUUCUAGGAUUGACGUAAUGAUUAAUAGGGAUAGUUGGGGGCAUUAGUAUUCAAUUGUCAGAGGUGAAAUUCUUGGAUUUAUUGAAGACUAACUACUGCGAAAGCAUUUGCCAAGGAUGUUUUCAUUAAUCAAGAACGAAAGUUAGGGGAUCGAAGACGAUCAGAUACCGUCGUAG